rnacentral:rRNA from 1 species
AAAGUAAUGCUGAAAUUGCAUAAUUCAGUGAAAUCAUCGCAAUCUUUGAACGCACAUUGCUGUCCCCUCUGGUAUUCCGGAGGGCAUGCCUGUUCAGAUGCGUCAUUUCAACCCUCAAUGCCUGGCUUGGUGAUUGGGCACUGCCUCCUAGCGGGGGCAUUGCCCUGUNAAUUCAGUGGCGAGCUCGCCAGNGACUCCGAGCGUAGUACUUANAUACCCGUCGACUCUGGGAAGCGACUGGCGGUGCCCGUGGCCGUUAAACCCCCAAGUUCUGAAAAUUGUGACUCUCGGAUCAAGUAGGAAUACCCGCUGAACUUUAAGGCAUAUCNAAUAGCGGGAGGAAU